AGCGAACGCUGGCGGCAUGCCUAACACAUGCAAGUCGAACGAAGGCUUCGGCCUUAGUGGCGCACGGGUGCGUAACGCGUGGGAAUCUGCCCCUCGGUUCGGAACAACAGUUAGAAAUGACUGCUAAUACCGGAUGAUGACUUCGGUCCAAAGAUUUAUCGCCGAGGGAUGAGCCCGCGUAAGAUUAGGUAGUUGGUGGGGUAAAGGCCUACCAAGCCGACGAUCUUUAGCUGGUCUGAGAGGAUGAUCAGCCACACUGGGACUGAGACACGGCCCAGACUCCUACGGGAGGCAGCAGUGGGGAAUAUUGGACAAUGGGCGAAAGCCUGAUCCAGCAAUGCCGCGUGAGUGAUGAAGGCCUUAGGGUUGUAAAGCUCUUUUACCAGGGAUGAUAAUGACAGUACCUGGAGAAUAAGCUCCGGCUAACUCCGUGCCAGCCGCCGCGGUAAUAC
rnacentral:rRNA from 1 species